rnacentral:rRNA from 1 species
GACGAACGCUGGCGGCGUGCUUAACACAUGCAAGUCGAACGGAAAGGCCCUGCUUUUGUUGGGUGCUCGAUUGGCGAACGCGUGAGUAACACGCGUGUAUCCUGCCCUUGUCUUUGUGAUAACUUCACGAAACUGGGGCUCAUACCGCAUAGGAGCUCCUGCUGCAUGGUGGGGGUUGGAAAGUUUCGGCGGUUGGGGCUGGACUCGCGGCUUAUCAGCUUGUUGGUGUGGUAGUGGCUUACCAAGGCUUUGACGGGUAGCCGGCCUGGGAGGGUGACCGGCCACAUUGGGACUGAGGUACGGCGCAGACGCCUACGGGAGGCAGCAGUGGGGAAUAUUGCACAAUGGGGGGAAGCCUGAUGCAGCAAUGCCGCGUGCGGGAUGAUGGGUUACGGGUUGUAAACCGAUUUCGCAGGAGAUGAAGAGUGAGUGACGGUAAUGGGUAAAGAAGCACCGGCUAACUACGUG